GCGCGGUGCUCGGGGCGUCAUGGCGGCGGCCGGCGCUGACUGCGCUGCGGCUUCGGUGCGUGGAGCGCGUCCCUGGGCGGCGACGGGAUCGCGGACGAGUCGCGAGGAUGCUUCAGAGCAGCGAAGGCCGCCGCCGGAGCGCGGGGCGAUGAGAGCCGGGCCCUGCGGACAGAGCUAGAAAAGAGGCGGCCCAGGCGUCGUGUGAAGGUUUGACGGAGAUUAGCGAUCGACAGAAACACUUGAGGCAGAAUAAAAGUACCGUGUGGCGGAAGAUGCGUAGCAGCAGUGCUGAGGACUAAGUAACCCAUUGCUGGCCUGCGGAUAUCGGUUUGAGGAAGCAGCUGAGUACAGAACGAGUCUGGGAGGAUUUUCAAACAAGACAGGAAAAAGCAAAGUGUGGAUGAAGUAGCUGCCACCGGUACUGAGCCUGUUGAGGGCUGAGAGCAUUUGGGGUUGAGCAUCUGAAAGGUGCUAAUGCGCAAGGAAUACUAAAAUACUGCAACUGAACACAAGGUUCUUCCCCAGCGCAGGCCUUUGUGUGCACCGUGGCCCUUGCAGAUGUCUGGGAGCCGCAGGGAAGCAGGUGCAGAAGCAUCGCCUGGCAGUCAAAGGAGCGUUGUCACAGCUAGGAGCUCUGCAGAGAUCUGCGGCUGGCCACGGAGGACACAUCGCACCGAGACUGGCGAUGCAACAGGCGAGCUGAGAGCUGUGCGAGUGUCCUGCAGGGCUCUACUCGGGGGCAGAGCGGAAGCGCAGGCAGGCGAGCUCAGGCGUUGUCCCCUCUGAUUCUCAGAGCUGAAUCCUAUCCCUGAAGGAAAAAGCAAAAGGAGUAGGCCAUCGGCUACGCAGAUACCUGCUGCGGCGGGAGCUGACGCUUCCCCGACAGAUGGACGGACGCUGGCGUGGCGAUGACUCUUCAGGUGUCACAGGGUAAGGGGAAGCGCGCUGGUGCCAAGCUCUGUGGCAAAAUCACUCCCAGGUGGUGUUUCUGCACAGUCAAACAAUAAACAGUUGCUUUGUUCUUUG